AACGAACGCUGGCGGCAGGCUUAACACAUGCAAGUCGAGCGCCCCGCAAGGGGAGCGGCAAACGGGUGAGGAAUACAUGGGAAUGUACCUUUCAGUUCGGAAUAGCCUCGGGAAACUGGGAUUAAUACCGGAUGUGCUCUACGGAGGAAAGAUUUAUCGCUGAAAGAUCAGCCCAUGCCUGAUUAGUUAGUUGGUAGGGUAACGGCCUACCAAGACAAUGAUCAGUAGCGGGUUUGAGAGGAUGAUCCGCCACACUGGGACUGAGAUACGGCCCAGACUCCUACGGGAGGCAGCAGUGAGGAAUAUUGGACAAUGGGCGCAAGCCUGAUCCAGCCAUGCCGCGUGAAUGAUGAAGGCCUUAGGGUUGUAAAGUUCUUUAAGUGGGGAAGAUAAUGACGGUACCCACAGAAUAAGCACCGGCUAACUACGUGCCAGCAGCCGCAGUAA
rnacentral:rRNA from 1 species